rnacentral:lncRNA from 1 species
AUUAUGGAGGACAGGGUUAUGGUGGUUACGGACAUGCUGCGCCACAGAGUCAGGACCUGAGCAUGCAUGCUGCAGCCGCCGUUCAUGGGGCUUCUUAACAGGGCUAUCAGAGUUGCCAACAGCAUGUAAACUGAACUUACAAGAGUGGCUUUUUAGAUAUAGUUUUCAGUGCCUUUAAUUUAAGUAGGAUUGAUUUAGCUGGUUAUUUAGCUGAAUCUGUAAUGUGCCGAAUUUUGUUACCGGAUUGAAUUGAUAUCUUGAAAACAAUGUGUGAGUAAUAUUUGAAAACUUGGUUUCUUUUUUUCUUUUUUAAAUUUUAUUGAAAACUUGUUUUCCAACAAGCUAUUUAUCAAAGUAAAGCUCUGCCUCAAAUAAU